rnacentral:rRNA from 1 species
GCCAAGCCGGGAAGGGAUAAACGCUGAAGGCAUCUAAGCGUGAAGCCCCCCUCAAGAUGAGAUAUCCCAUAACGUCAAGUUAGUAAGACCCCUUGAAGACGACGAGGUAGAUAGGGCAGAGGUGGAAGUGUGGUAACGCAUGGAGCUGACUGUUACUAAUAGGUCGAGGGCAUAACCAA